rnacentral:rRNA from 1 species
UACGAAGGGGGCUAGCGUUGCUCGGAAUCACUGGGCGUAAAGGGUGCGUAGGCGGGUUUUUUAAGUCAGAGGUGAAAUCCUGGAGCUCAACUCCAGAACUGCCUUUGAUACUGAAAGUCUUGAGUAUGGGAGAGGUGAGUGGAACUGCGAGUGUAGAGGUGAAAUUCGUAGAUAUUCGCAAGAACACCAGUGGCGAAGGCGGCUCACUGGCCCAUUACUGACGCUGAGGCACGAAAAGCGUGGGGGA